rnacentral:rRNA from 1 species
AUUGAACGCUGGCGGCAGGCUUAACACAUGCAAGUCGAGCGGGGUGAUGGUGCUUGCACUAUCACUUAGCGGCGGACGGGUGAGUAAUGCUUAGGAAUCUGUCUAUUAGUGGGGGACAACAUCUCGAAAGGGAUGCUAAUACCGCAUACGUCCUACGGGAGAAAGCAGGGGAUCACUUGUGACCUUGCGCUAAUAGAUGAGCCUAAGUCGGAUUAGCUAGUUGGUGGGGUAAAGGCCUACCAAGGCGACGAUCUGUAUCGGGACUGGGAGGAUGUUGCGGCAGAGUGGGAAGGAGAGCCGACCCAGGUUGCUACGGGGGGCAGCAGUUGGGAAUAUUGGACAAUGGUGGGAACCCUGAACCAGCCAUGCCGCGUGUGUGAAGAAGGGCUUAUGGUUGUAAAGCACUUUAAGCGAGGAGGAGGCUCUUUUGGUUAAUACCCAAGAUGAGUGGACGUUACUCGCAGAAUAAGCACCGGCUAACUCUGUGCCAGCCGCCGCAGUAA